UCACCUGACCCCACAGCCACGGAUGCACGUUACCUUCAGAUGAAGUGCAUUUGCCACCUGAGGAGAAGUCACGCCGUGCGGCCGCCAAUUUGGUUCUUGGAAAUCGCACCUCAAUGACGCACAUCAAAAUUCAAUCACACACAAGCACCAUCCAGGCACCCACCUCCACCCCCUUGUUGACUUGAUUAAGAUUCUCACACCUCCAGCUCAGCGUUGAUAUCUGUUCAGAGAGAGACAGAGAGAAUGAAAGAAUGGAAGGAGGAGGUGCAAAGAAGAGGAGGAGAAGUCUCAGAUCUUCGUCUAACUCACAAACCGACCCUAAAUAACCAUCCACCCAAACCACCGUAAGUAACUGGAUGUCCGGCCAACGGGUUCAACAGGGAACAUCUCGUUUCCGACACUAGAUUCAGCGGUCACAGCAGAAAACUCUUUCGAGUUGCGUGCAAACAGAUGUCUUGGGUUACUUAGAAGGUAAGAUCAAGGACAAAUAUAGACACAAGACAUCUCAGUCAAAGAGUCAGGCCUGUUCAAAUCUCACAGCUCGAAUCUAAAUACCACCUGUCCGUCUGUCUCGUGAACGUCAGCACUUUUCACAUCAAAAUUAAUUUUUGGUUGGAUGUGGCUCUACCGCUCUGCUUUGUUUGCCCGGAGUCUUUGCAUCUUCAGAAAGAUGGGAACAGGAGGAUAAAAGACACUUUUAUAAUCAACAUUUUGUCCUUAAGCAGUCUUUUUCUUCUCAAACGAGUUUUCAUUAUUUAUAAGUGCUCCGGAGGUGUAACUGGGCUGGGAUUUCACGCAAAGGUUUGAUAGGAGUUAGAUGAAGCUUACAGAAUUGAUUUGAGAAGCAUGGAAAUUAUUAUCUGCUCCCCGCAUUGCACCGUUAACACAUUUCACCAUGUAUCCCAUGGAAAAAAGUUGAUAUCUCAGCGUGUGGACGCAUGCGUUUAGCCGUGCCUUUGUGUGGAAGUGAAGAACGCAAGUGUCCACUUGAACACUGUGUGACUUCAAAGAUGAAAUGAAGUGCUCAGAAACUGUGAGAAUUGAGAUGAAUUUCUUUCUUGAAGAGGUAUCAAAAUAUCAAAGAAAUCUGAACUGGCUAAUUUGACUCUCGCGUGCAUCUGUCCGAGUUUCAUACUCUCUCAUCCAUCUUCCACAAAGCUUUUUAACAAUGCUUAAAUGAAAAAAAAAAAAAGACAAAUUCAGGCAUAGUUUUUAAAAAGGAAACUCCAGCUAAAUGCACACACAGGCACGCACACAUUUUUCUUUCUCAAUAUGAUGAAUAUUUCAGUACUAAGAAAAGCAAACUGAUUCCAGAGUGAAGAACUGAGGGUCAGUGGAUCUAGUUUUAAAGAAACUUCUCCUUUCUCUCUUCCCAUCUCUCUCUAUCAGUCCUAUAUGCCGCUGUCGUUCUUCCAAGAAUGUUAAUGGAGAAGAAAAAAAUGACAAGAAUGACUUAGACAUACAUGUCAGGGAAAGAGGUCAUCUCAUGGCAGUGGGAUGUUAAUUCUCUUCUAUUAAUGAAAUUUAUCCUCUUCACUGUCUAGUCGCUUCAAAAGCAGGGACCCUCAAAAAAAAAAAAAAAACGUAAGAGGGAGAAAUAAAGGGAGCGGGGCUAAAAGACUUUUUUUUUUUUUUUUUUUUUUUGAGGCCACCGGGGGCAGGGCAAAAGGAAGAGACUGACAAUCGUCAGGUGAUUAAGAGGACUUGGAGGCUAGGUAGACCUACAAAAUGAAUAACCGUGGACCCAAAACCACGCCAUAAGGCUCAAUGGUUUGUGAUUUGCAAGUUGAUAAGACAAGAAGAUUAAUAAUGCUGCAUGAUAAUGGUUGCUGGCGACUCAGCUGGGGAGAUGGUAAUGAUGUGAUCCUGCUGUAGGAGCAGUUCAGCACGCCGCAGCGGUGAAGAGAUGGCAAAAAAAAAAAUGCCAGGAAAAAAAAAACCCACUCAUCCCAAUUGGCCCUCAGGAUAUGGAGAGUUUGAAAAAUGAGAAUACAGUUAUCAUUUUAAUUAGAUAUAAAGUUUUUUUUCACAUAAUUUUGCUGAAAUGAGGACUUCAAAGAAUGCAUUUUGCAGCGUUCAGCCCGCUGUAAUUCCUGAGUGACAGUUUUGUUAAUUUGUGAGGUGUUUUUUUCCUCCCCUGUUUGAAUCAAACUUUUCCUUCAGGCGAUUUGAAGGGGGCAUUAUAAAUGAAAAUCAGGCAGGUGUGUGAGUGUGAGUGUGUGUGCAUGCGUGCUUCUGGGGAGGACGGGAAGACUGAAAUCUCAGCUGUAGACAUAUUCGAUCUGAUGAGUAUCGUAAAACUUAAAGCAAGUUUUUUUUUUUCUUGCUUAAUAAGCACGGAUAGAUAUUGAUGGCUGUGCAUUUUUGCCUUUAGUGAGUUUAAAUGUAUUUGCAUCUUAUUUUAUUUUAAUUAUUACUUAUAGUGGUGCUUUAAUCCUCAGAGAC